rnacentral:rRNA from 1 species
UACAGAGGUGGCAAGCGUUGUUCGGAAUUACUGGGCGUAAAGGGCGCGUAGGCGGCCUUGUAAGUCCUGUGUGAAAUCCCCCGGCUCAACUGGGGAACUGCACAGGAGACUGCCUGGCUUGAGUUCGGGAGAGGGAAGCGGAAUUCCGGGUGUAGCGGUGAAAUGCGUAGAUAUCCGGAGGAACACCGGUGGCGAAGGCGGCUUCCUGGACCGACACUGACGCUGAGGCGCGAAAGCCAGGGGAGCAAACGGG